AAUCUUGCGCGAUGGGCGAAAGCCUGACGCAGCCAUGCCGCGUGAAUGCUUAAGGUCUUAGGUUUGUAAAAUUCUUUCACCGGGGACGAUAAUGACGGUACCCGGAGAAGCAGCCCCGGCUAACUUCGUUCCAGCAGCCGCGGUAAUACGAAGGGGGCUAGCGUUGCUCGGAAUUACUGGCCGUAAAGGGCGCGUAGGCGGAUCGUUAAGUCAGGGGUGAAAUCCCGGGGCUCAACCUCGGAACUGCCCUUGAUACUGGCGAUCUUGAGUAUGAGAGAGGUAUGUGGAACUCCGAGUGUAGAGGUGAAAUUCGUAGAUAUUCGGAAGAACACCAGUGGCGAAGGCGACAUACUGGCUCAUUACUGACGCUGAGGCGCGAAAGCGUGGGGAGCAAACA
rnacentral:rRNA from 1 species